GAUGAACGCUGGCGGCGUGCCUAACACAUGCAAGUCGAGCGAAGAGGGGACGCGUGGGUAAAACGUGGCUAACCUCCUAUAUGACUGGGAUAACUUCGGGAAAACGGAGCUAAACCCGCAACUUAUCGAUGGAUCCGCGCUGCAUUAGCUAGUUGGUAAGGUAACGGCUUACAAAGGCAACGAUGCAUAGCCGACCUGAGAGGAUGAUCGGCCACACUGGAACUGAGACACGGUCCAGACUCCUACGGGAGGAAGCAGUAGGGAAUUUUCCGCAAUGGGCGAAAGCCUGACAGAGCAACGCCGCGUGUGUUAUGAAGGUCUUCGGAUCGUAAAACUCUGUUAUUAGGGAAGCGGUACCUGAUCAGAAAGCCACGGCUAACUACGUGCCAGCAGCCGCGGUAAUUC
rnacentral:rRNA from 1 species